GGGUAUUCAGGUUCGGUUUUUUUGCCCAACCCUUUUUUAGUUGCAAUUGUAAAUGUAAAUAAUGAUUUCUGAUUUAGUUUAUGGGGGAUGAGGGAACCUCAAAACAUUUAUGGAUUUAUUACAUAUGAACACAUUUAUUAUUGAAGGAACCUUACGACAUUUAGGGAUUUCCUCAAAAAAAAAGAAAAAAUCAUAUUGAAUGUAGCAUCUACCGUGGUUUAGUGAGUUUAGUGGUCACUUGUUACAUUAAAAGGUUAUAACGUCCACUAUAAAUCUGUAAUGUCC
rnacentral:lncRNA from 1 species